rnacentral:rRNA from 1 species
GACGAACGCUGGCGGCGUGCCUAAUACAUGCAAGUCGAGCGAACAGAUGAGGAGCUUGCUCUUCUGACGUUAGCGGCGGACGGGUGAGUAACACGUGGAUAACCUACCUAUAAGACUGGGAUAACUACGGGAAACCGGAGCUAAUACCGGAUAAUAUAUUGAACCGCAUGGUUUAUUAGUGAAAGACGGUAUUGCUGCAACUUAUAGAGGGCUUGGCGCGUCUUUGGCUGGUUGGUAAGGAAACGGCUUACCAAGGGAAGGAUGCGUAGCCGACCUGAGGGGGUGAUGGGCAACACGGGAACUGGGACACGGUCAGGACUCCUACGGGGGGCAGCAGUAGGGAAUCUUCGGCAAUGGGGGAAAGCCUAACGGAGCAACGCCGCGUGGGUGAUAAAGGUCUUGGGAUCGUAAAACCCGGUUUUUGGGGAGAAACAGAUGUGUAGUUGAAUGUGCACGUCUUGACGGUACCUGAUCAGAAAGCCACGGCUAACUACGUG